AAGAUGUUAUGUUGGUUUGUGGGUGGGAAGAAAAGAUGUUAUGUUGGUUUGUGGGUGGGUUCUUCCCACCCACAAACCAACAUAACAUCUU
rnacentral:pre_miRNA from 1 species